rnacentral:lncRNA from 1 species
UUCCAGAUCUCGUGCUCGCAGAAUGAAGGAAGCCAACCUCUUUUCGUUUCCUUUUUCUCUAUCUCUUUGUUUUUUAAAAUGUUUGUAGCAGAUUUUGAUCAGUUUAGCUCCAGUGAACCCUAGAUUAUGCUAGUAAUUUUAUCAAUUUACUUUUUUGAUCAACUUUAGACUUUUGUCAACGAAAUACACUAUUUAUGCGAGAUUCGUGAAACUAGCGUAUUAUAGUUUGCUUUUUCACGUGUAAACGAUGAGUUUUUCCGAGUGAUGAUAAUUAGAUUUGAGCAUCUCAAAUAGACUGUGCUUAGGCUUGAUGAAGAAGGAUGUUUGCUGUAGGGUUAACAGUGUAAAAUGUUUAUUCAAUAGAUGAUUACAGUUAAAUACCUUGAUAAUCAUCAUUAUUAUUUUCUUGUGCUUUUUAAGCAUAUGAUGUAGCCAAAUAGCUAUUGUAUAAUAACUAAAAGAAAAAGCCACAAAGGGAUAGUACAAGUAAGGAUGGCAAAAGCUACAAUAUUGUUGCCUCUUUGCCUUGGCUAUAUACUCAUCCCUAUGCACUUCCAUCACCUUUUGGUGACAGACUCACGAUAUGGCUGCCGGCAUAGUCUCACGAGGAUGAAUGAUCUCAUAGCCCUUUUGGAUACUUCCCAAAGGCAUCAUUAUUUAAUAAUCUGAUUAAAUGGUAACUAAGCUGCAAUCAGUUUACACAAGCGGUGUGUAUAACUUGAAUCCUAAUAAAAUUAUACUGAGCUCUAUGCUAACUUUGGGGAUAAAUGGUUCAUUUAGCUGAUUGCAACUAGAGGUGUAGUUGAUCAACAUUAUUGGAAGAUGUGGAUAGGGUAUGCGAUGCAUUAUUCUGCUGACGGUGUCGUUUUUAGCUUGUUUAAUGUGACUUAGUCAAGACUAUUUGGACCUUGAGAUGGAAAUGUGAUAGAGGCCCCUUACAGCUAUUUGCUUCUUUGUCUAAUGUCUAGUUAAGACAAAUGAUAUUAAUGGUUACUCAAUCAAUACCUGCACUUGGGGGAGGUAGCAUUUGCUCGGUGAGAUGGUAGAGUUGUGCAUAAGCUGCCCUGGACACCUCUGACAUUAGAAAACUAGGAAAAUUGAAUGUAGUUGUAACAAGCUAAAUGUUUGAGCUUUGUCUUGUCCUUUGUAAUCCUUAUCUUGCUUUCCCUAUGUUAUUGUGACGCAUAUUUCCUGUGGUAAUUUCUGAACAAUCAUCGGUGAUCCCUUCAUUUGAUUUGGUGCAGGCCAAAAUAUCAGAAAAUUGGUGAAGGAUGGUUUCAUCAUCAGGAAGCCAACCAAAAUUCACUCCAGAUCUCGUGCUCGCAGAAUGAAGGAAGCAAAGAGGAAAGGCCGUCACUCUGGAUACGGUACCCUCCAAGUGUUGACAUUUGAUACUAACUAGUUUAAUGUUACUUUGGUUAAUUUUAUAUGACAUAAUUCAAUUCUUUAGGGUUGAAUUUUCAUUCUAACUUCAAAAAUUGGAUUCCCCUUUUUAGUAAAUAUUUAAAUUUUCAAUUCAAAAUAAAGAAGAGUAUAAUUAGGAGAUGGAAUUUGGAGAAGAAAGAUGACUAUAAAAAUGAGAAUACAACAACAACAACCUGGUAUAAUCCCACAAGUGGGGUCUGGGGACUAUAAAAAUGAGGUUGAGAGAGUAUAAAGCUGUUCUUAGUAUUUUUUGUGAGGAGUUAUUACGUAGCAUGUUUUGUUUGAAUGCAUGUCUCUUUUCCUUUUUAAUCCUAUAUUUCCAAUUUCUUUGUACGUCUAAUGAACAAUUGCUGGGUGAAAUUGCUUGAUGAGCUCUC